rnacentral:rRNA from 1 species
CCUACGGGAGGCAGCAGUCGAGAAUCAUUCACAAUGGGGGAAACCCUGAUGGUGCGACGCCGCGUGGGGGACUGAAGGUCUUCGGAUUGUAAACCCCUGUCAUGUGGGAGCAAAUUAAAAAGAUAGUACCACAAGAGGAAGAGACGGCUAACUCUGUGCCAGCCGCCGCGGUAAUACAGAGGUCUCAAGCGUUGUUCGGAAUCACUGGGCGUAAAGCGUGCGUAGGCUGUUUCGUAAGUCGUGUGUGAAAGUCGCGGGCUCAACCCGCGGACGGCACAUGAUACUGCGAGACUAGAGUAAUGGAGGGGGAACCGGAAUUCUCGGUGUAGCAGUGAAAUGCGGAGAUAUCGAGAGGAACACUCGUGGCGAAGGCGGGUUCCUGGACAUUAACUGACGCUGAGGCACGAAGGCCAGGGGAGCGAAAGGGAUUAGAUACCCCUGUAGUC